GGUGGCGGCUAUACUGGACUUGUCCCACCUGUUCCCAUUCCGAACACAGAAGUGAAAUAGUUCAAGGCCCAUGAUAGUAUCGGGCUUAGCCUGAUGCGAAAGUAGGUAGCUGCCACCA
rnacentral:rRNA from 1 species